rnacentral:rRNA from 1 species
AAAUUGAAGAGUUUGAUCAUGGCUCAGAUUGAACGCUGGCGGCAGGCCUAACACAUGCAAGUCGAACGGUAGCACAGAGGAGCUUGCUCCUUGGGUGACGAGUGGCGGAAGGGGGAGUAAUGACUGGGAAACUGCCCGACAGAGGGGGAUAA